UGGAAUCUGAAAUCUUUUUCUUUUUGCAUAUAUUAUGAUAUAUUCAUUCAUAUAAUGAUAAGAUCUAAGAUUGAUCCCCCUUUUCAGGGUGUAUAUGUUUGCUUGAUUCACUUGCUGCUCAUGUAUUGUUAUGAUUCCUAGGUUUUUGUUACCUUGUCAUUGGUAGGGUGCACCUGAAAGGUGGAGAUUGGUGAGGGCUCUUGGUACUGCUGUGGGACUUCCUACAGAGAAUGACAUGGGCAACAGUAAAGUCGAUCACUUUGUUUAAAAUUAGAUAAAAUUGUGUAAAAUUUAGUAUGGUUGAACAAUAUACUGAGGAUUAUAGUUGAUAAUACACUUUGUUUAUGUUUUGAAUUAUAUUGACUUGC